rnacentral:rRNA from 1 species
UACGUAGGGUGCAAGCGUUAAUCGGAAUUACUGGGCGUAAAGCGUGCGCAGGCGGUUAUGUAAGACAGGUGUGAAAUCCCCGGGCUUAACCUGGGAACUGCAUUUGUAACUGGCAAGCUAGAGUGUGGCAGAGGGGGGUGGAAUUCCAGGUGUAGCAGUGAAAUGCGUAGAUAUCAGGAGGAACACCGUAGUGGCUGAAGGAC